UACCGCUUUUAAGUAUGGUCUCAUAUUACAGUGCAAAACUGAAUUUAAAAGUACCCUAUUUGCUGUAUAACUACAUUGUAAACACACCGUUUUGCAAGAGCUGUGGAGGAUUACGGGACCUACUUACACAUCCAAUGUGUAAUCCUUAAACUAAAAUCUGUGAUAUAGGACAUGCAGCCAAGGUCAAGGAUUGAAUGAGCCUAGGGUCUUUACUACAAUCUAUGCUUUCAACACAAGAUGAAGAAAUGGCAACUACAAAGUGUACAAAGUGAAGGGGAUCGCUUGACCACUGUUCCAGUUCUUGUCUGCCUCCAGUAUGAGGAAUGGUAAGAAGGAAGUCUCAACUACAGCCACAUCAUGGUAUUAUAUCUGUUUCACCUCUGAUGCAACACCUGCAGCGGAGACCCAACUGGUUUGGGAGAAGCGUGUGUGUUGCGCUAUCUGGAAUCCCAUCAUCGCUACCCCGUGUUCUUUACAGUUGUCCUAAACUGUUGUCUACUUUUUCAUACUUGCAUCAUGAGCCCUUUUUGUUAGUAACCUUCAGCAAUAAAUGACCACAAAGGGA